rnacentral:rRNA from 1 species
GAUGAACGCUGGCGGCGUGCCUAAUACAUGCAAGUCGAGCGAAGCGCGGACGGGUGUGUAACACGUGGAUAACCUCCUCUAAGACUGGGAUUACUUCCGGAAACCGGAGCUUAUCCCGAUACUUAUAGAUGUAUCCGCGAUGCAUUAGCUAGUUGGUAAGGUAACGGCUUACCAAGGCAACGAUGCAUAGCCGACCUGAGAGGGUGAUCGGCCACACUGGAACUGAGAAACGGUCCAGACUCCUACGGGAGGCAGCAGUAGGGAAUCUGGCGCAAUGGGCGAAAGCCUGACGGAGCAACGCCGCGUGAGUGAAGAAGGUCUUCGGAUUGUAAAGCUCUGUUAUUAGGGAAGCGGUACCUAAUCAGAAAGCCACGGCUAACUACGUGCCAGCAGCCGCGGUAAUAC